UGGACAUCGACAAAGCCGUGCACAGCAGGAGCAAUACACAGGAGAUGGACAAGCAGCGCAAAUCCACUAUGGCAUGCUUCGUACGUGAACAUCCACUUAUCCACAUACGAAGGCAGUAGCUUCUCAUCCUAUCAAAAUAAACCAUGCGAAGCUUGCCCGGACUAGUGGCUUACCUCUCGGUUUAUGAAACGCGUAGACAUGCACGAAGUUGUGACCAGCCACGACACCAAAGGCCAGUUGCCUGCGGGGCUGGGACGAGAACAUCUCCCUCACACCAAGAAUCAUCCUUCCCACUGCCCAGCCAUAGUGAAU
rnacentral:lncRNA from 1 species